rnacentral:lncRNA from 1 species
UAGGCCAUUGACUAUAAUUUUUUAUAAAUUAUAAUCAUGUGCUUAUAUAAAAAUUUUCAUGUUAGCUUUCUAAUAGAUAUAAUUUGAUCUAUUAAAUAGUGGAGGUCUAUCUAUAGGAUAUCUUUCAUUAAACAAGAAUUUUAUUUGGAUUGUCAUGAUCUUUAACUCUAGACCGCUAGAUCAACAACAAAUAACAGAGCACCUGUUCUAAUACUAAUUGUUGACCAGAAAGUAGCAACCCAAGAGGAGGGGGUGAAUAGGGUUCUUUAAAAAUUUUAAUCAAAUUUAGGCUCUUAACAAGUAUGUGCUUCAGAGUAACUUAACUUAGUAUAGUUGUAACGUAAAUGUAAUAAACUAUAGUGAAAUUAAUAUAUUAAAGCAAUAAGGCAAGAAUUAAAUACAAGUAAAGAAAGUAAGAUGAUGAAGCAAAGAAGAAUCAAAGGCAUAGUACAAACACAUAAGAAUUUUAUAGUGGUUUGAUGCAACUCUGCACCUACGUCUAUUCUCCAAGC